UGGACCGCGGGCUGGGCGCAGGGGCAGGCCCGCCGCGUUUCGGGCUGAGCGGAUACAGAUGACAGACUCGCGGGGCGGGGAUGCUUCCUCCCUGGAAUCGCGGGAACUGUGUGCGGGGGUCGGGGAGCGUUCCUCUGUGCUUUAGCCGUGUGCCUCUUUGCACACCUGUGACUUGCUUUGCACGCUUUCUUCUGAGGGGCACAGUGGCUUCCAGGUGCCUCCCCAUGACUCCCACAGGGCCUGGGGUCCCUCUGCUGGCCUUCUAAGGACAUUUGAGCCGCGGUGUUCAUCGAGCACCUACUGUGUCAAGGAGCCUGGUGGGAGGGACAAGGAUGGCACGGCUGCCUAUGGUGGUGAGCCCUCCUUGGUGCUCCUGGGGCUGAGCAGGGCCGCUUGCCAUGGGGCUGGGCCUGCCCCGGGCUUGGCUGGUGGGCCUGCCUACGCCCGUGGUCUACGGCUCCCUGGCCCUCUUCACCUCUGUCCUGCACAACGUGUUCCUUCUGUACUAUGUGGACACCUUUGUCUCCGUGUACAAGAUCAACAGAACAGCCUUCUGGAUUGGAGAGACCGUGUUUCUCCUCUGGAACAGCCUCAAUGACCCUCUCUUCGGUUGGCUCAGUGAUCGCCAGUUCCUCAGCUCCCGGCCUCGGUCAGGCACAGGGCUUUCCUCCCAGGCUGUGGUGCUGGCCCGGGUCCAGGCGCUGGGCCGGCAUGGGCCGCUGUUGGCGCUCUCAUUCCUGGCAUUCUGGGUGCCUUGGGCCCCCGCUGGCCUGCAGUUCCUGCUGUGCCUGUGCCUCUAUGAUGGCUUCCUGACACUUGUGGACCUGCACCAUCACGCUUUGCUGGCUGACCUGGCCCUCUCGGCCCGGGGCCGCACCCACCUCAACUUCUGCUGCUCCGUCUUCAGCGCCGCUGGCUCCCUCUCUGUCUUUGCCUCCUAUGCCUUUUGGAACAAGGAGGACUUCUCUUCCUUCCGCACCUUCUGCGUGGCACUGGCUGCUGGCUCUGCACUGGGCUUUCUGGGGGCCACACAACUGCUGAGGCGGCGGGUUGAGGCAGCUGGAAGGGACAUGGGGUGCUCGGCGCUGGCCUGGGAUGGCGGUUUACGCAGAGAGGAGCUGCUAUUUGGUGGUGAGGAAGCGGGCAGCAUCACCUUGGGCCAGUACCUCCGGCAGCUGGCACGCCACCAAAACUUCCUGUGGUUCGUGGGCAUGGACCUGGUGCAGGUGUUUCAUUGUCACUUCAACAGCAAUUUCUUCCCCCUCUUCCUGGAGUACCUGCUGUCGGACCACAUCUCCCUGUCCACCGGCUCCUUCCUGUUGGGCAUCUCCUACGUCGCCCCUCAUCUCAACAACCUCUACUUCCUGCCGCUGUGCCGGCGCUGGGGCGUCUAUUCUGUGGUGCGGGCGCUCUUCUUGCUGAAGCUGGGCCUCAGCCUGCUUAUGCUGGUGGCUGGCCCGGACCGCCCAGGCCUGCUGUGUUUCUUCAUUGCCAGCAACCGUGUCUUCACGGAGGGCACCUGUAAGCUGCUGACGCUGGUGGUCACUGACCUGGUGGAUGAGGACCUGGUGCUGAAUCAUCGCAAGCAGGCAGCCUCGGCGCUCCUCUUUGGCAUGGUUGCCCUGGUGACCAAACCAGGCCAGACCUUUGCUCCACUGCUGGGCACCUGGCUUCUCUGCUUCUACACAGGUCAUGACCUCUUCCAGCAGCCCCCAGUGAUCCCUGUGGGCAGCACCCAGCCCUGGCCAGAGCCACCAGCCUCUGCCCCGGCGCGGGCCUCAACACUGCGCCAGGGUUGCUUCUACCUGUUGGUGCUGGUGCCCAUCACUUGCGCACUGUUGCAGCUCCUCACCUGGUCCCAGUUCACGCUGCAUGGGCGGCGCCUGCACAUGGUCAAGGCCCAGCGCCAGAGCCUGGCCCAGGUCCAAACUCUGGACAUUAAGACAGUGUGAGUGGCAUAGCAAGGGCACCCUGCUGGGAAUACUGCCCAGCCCGUGUCUUACUCCUCUGACUUCCCGGGGUACAACCUGGAGGACAGAUGGCAGUGGUCUCACAUACGGUUCCCUGAGCCUGCAGCUGUGUCCCCUCUCAAGAGGCUUGUUUCGUUACUGAUUAAAGUCAGUCAUUCCUAUUCCUCAGGUCUGUGCUGUGUUAGUAGGCUGGUAAACAAGGUUCCUCAGGGAGCCGGGCGUGCUGACACAGGUUUUUAACUUCAGUACUCAGAGGCAGAGUCUGGAAGAGGCCAGCCUGAGCUACAUAGCUCAUGGCCAGUCCAGACUACACAGAGAAACCCAUCUUAAAAAAACAAAAUCAUUCCUACUGAUCAGGAAAGCAGCCUAAGAGCAGCUUCCUCGGGUGGUGGCCACCGUGUCAGACUCUGAGGUACCAGGAUAAGAAUGCAGCUCACUGUAAGUGGCAUUCAGGCCUAAGGCCAGCCGCCCCAUGUUCCUCACAUACCAUUGCUACAUAGUCAUCACGGAGGACCUCCUAGUGCAGGAGUCACCAGAGGAUCUUCACAGAGCUUCCCGGUGGGUUGUUCCCAGCAGUUCCAGCCUGAGCCUGCAGGAUGGUGUGAACGCUGGGGUCUUGCAAAACUGUGAUUUUACCUCAAAGGUAGGAUUACAAACCACUGCACUAGCUAAAUGUAUCAGCCUAGCUGCCAGGAACAUUGGGGGCAGAGAAUCCUGUGAUGUUUGACAGCGUUUUCUUUUUUGCUUGGACUAAUAGUGAUCCUAUUGUCUCAGUUCCCUCUGCACUGGGAUUACAGGUGUGUGCCGCUCUGCCGAGUUUCAGGCAUGGGAACACUGGGGAUUGGCUGGUGUGGCAUGUGGUAUGAGGAUUGAACCCAGGUCCUUGUGUUUGCCAG